rnacentral:misc_RNA from 1 species
GAUGAAGAACGUAGCGAAAUGCGAUACUUGGUGUGAAUUGCAGAAUCCCGUGAACCAUCGAGUCUUUGAACGCAAGUUGCGCCCGAAGCCAUUAGGCCGAGGGCACGCCUGCCUGGGUGUCACACGUCGUUGCCCCCCCAUCUACUCCUUCGGGAUUGCGGGGGGCGGAUGAUGGCCUCCCGUGCGCCUCGUCGCGCGGUUGGCAUAAAUGCCAAGUCCUCGGCGACGCACGCCACGACAAUCGGUGGUUGCGAAACCUCGGUUGCCCGUCGUGUGCGGUCGUCGCGCAUCGAGGGCUCGAAAAAAUUGCCGGGCUCCGGCUCGGCUUUCAACGCGACCCCAGGCCAGGCGGGGUUACCCGCUGAAUUUAAGCAUAUCAAUAAGCGGAGGA